rnacentral:rRNA from 1 species
AACGUAGGUUCCGAGCGUUAUCCGGAUUUACUGGGCGUAAAGCGCGUUCAGGCGGUUUGGCAAGUCGGGCAUGAAAUCUCUCGGCUCAACCGGGAGAGGUUGUCCGAUACUGCUGGACUUGAGGGCAGUAGAGGGUGGUGGAAUUCCACGUGUAGCAGUGAAAUGCGUAGAGAUGUGGAGGAACACCGAUGGCGAAGGCAGCCCCCUGGGUCAACACUGACGCUCAUGCACGAAAGCGUGGGGAGCAAACAGG